AGUGAACGCUGGCGGUAGGCCUAACACAUGCAAGUCGAACGGCAGCACAGUAAGAGCUUGCUCUUACGGGUGGCGAGUGGCGGACGGGUGAGGAAUACAUCGGAAUCUACUUUUUCGUGGGGGAUAACGUAGGGAAACUUACGCUAAUACCGCAUACGACCUACGGGUGAAAGCAGGGGAUCUUCGGACCUUGCGCGAUUGAAUGAGCCGAUGUCGGAUUAGCUAGUUGGCGGGGUAAAGGCCCACCAAGGCGACGAUCCGUAGCUGGUCUGAGAGGAUGAUCAGCCACACUGGAACUGAGACACGGUCCAGACUCCUACGGGUGGCAGCAGUGGGGAAUAUUGGACAAUGGGCGCAAGCCUGAUCCAGCCAUACCGCGUGGGUGAAGAAGGCCUUCGGGUUGUAAAGCCCUUUUGUUGGGAAAGAAAAGCAGCAGGUUAAUACCCCGCUGUUCUGACGGUACCCAAGGAAUAAGCACCGGCUAACUUCGUG
rnacentral:rRNA from 1 species